GACGAACCGUCCGAACGUUAUUCGGAAUUACUGGGCCUAAAGCGCGUGUAGGCGGGCCGGCACGUCGGACGCUGAAAUCCCCCGGCUUAACCGGGGAAGUGGCCCCGAUACGACCGGCCUGGAGGGGUGUAGGGGGGACGGGAACUCACGGUGGAGCGGUGAAAUGCGUUGAGAUCGUGAGGAACGCCCGUGGCGAAAGCGCGUCCCUGGACAUCACCUGACGCUGAGACGCGAAAGCCAGGGGAGCGAACGGG
rnacentral:rRNA from 1 species